rnacentral:tRNA from 1 species
AAUGGAUGUAGCUCAUUGGGUAGAGCAACGGACUGAUACUCCGUGGGUAGAGGGUUCGAGUCCCUCCUUCCA